GACGAACGCUGGCGGCGUGCUUAACACAUGCAAGUCGAACGGAAAGGCCCUGCUUUUGUGGGGUGCUCGAGUGGCGAACGGGUGAGUAACACGUGAGUAACCUGCCCUUGACUUUGGGAUAACUUCAGGAAACUGGGGCUAAUACCGGAUAGGAGCUCCUGCUGCAUGGUGGGGGUUGGAAAGUUUCGGCGGUUGGGGAUGGACUCGCGGCUUAUCAGCUUGUUGGUGGGGUAGUGGCUUACCAAGGCUUUGACGGGUAGCCGGCCUGAGAGGGUGACCGGCCACAUUGGGACUGAGAUACGGCCCAGACUCCUACGGGAGGCAGCAGUGGGGAAUAUUGCACAAUGGGCGGAAGCCUGAUGCAGCAACGCCGCGUGCGGGAUGACGGCCUUCGGGUUGUAAACCGCUUUCGCCUGUGACGAAGCGUGAGUGACGGUAAUGGGUAAAGAAGCACCGGCUAACUACGUGCCAGCAGCCGCGGUGAUACGUAGGGUGCGAGCGUUGUCCGGAUUUAUUGGGCGUAAAGGGCUCGUAGGUGGUUGAUCGCGUCGGAAGUGUAAUCUUGGGGCUUAACCCUGAGCGUGCUUUCGAUACGGGUUGACUUGAGGAAGGUAGGGGAGAAUGGAAUUCCUGGUGGAGCGGUGGAAUGCGCAGAUAUCAGGAGGAACACCAGUGGCGAAGGCGGUUCUCUGGGCCUUUCCUGACGCUGAGGAGCGAAAGCGUGGGGAGCGAACAGGCUUAGAUACCCUGGUAGUCCACGCUGUAAACGGUGGGUACUAGGUGUGGGGUCCAUUCCACGGGUUCCGUGCCGUAGCUAACGCUUUAAGUACCCCGCCUGGGGAGUACGGCCGCAAGGCUAAAACUCAAAGGAAUAGACGGGGCCCCGCACAAGCGGCGGAGCAUGCGGAUUAAUUCGAUGCAACGCGUAGAACCUUACCUGGGUUUGACAUGGAUCGGGAGUGCUCAGAGAUGGGUGUGCCUCUUUUGGGGUCGGUUCACAGGUGGUGCAUGGCUGUCGUCAGCUCGUGUCGUGAGAUGUUGGGUUAAGUCCCGCAACGAGCGCAACCCUUGUUCACUGUUGCCAGCACGUUAUGGUGGGGACUCAGUGGAGACCGCCGGGGUCAACUCGGAGGAAGGUGGGGAUGACGUCAAGUCAUCAUGCCCCUUAUGUCCAGGGCUUCACGCAUGCUACAAUGGCUGGUACAGAGAGUGGCGAGCCUGUGAGGGUGAGCGAAUCUCGGAAAGCCGGUCUCAGUUCGGAUUGGGGUCUGCAACUCGACCUCAUGAAGUCGGAGUCGCUAGUAAUCGCAGAUCAGCAACGCUGCGGGGAAUAUGUUCCCGGGGCU
rnacentral:rRNA from 1 species